CAGAGAGUAGUUUAUUAAGAAUAUCAGCUUUGGGUGCUGAUGGUGGGACUUUGAGUCUCCUCUUUGA
rnacentral:tRNA from 1 species